AAAGAGUUGCGUAGGUGGCAGAGUAAGUAAGGAGUGAAAGCGUUCGGCUCAACCGAAUAUACAUUUUUUAAACUGCUCAGCUAGAGAAUGAGAGAGGUCACUGGAAUUCCAAGUGUAGGAGUGAAAUCCGUAGAUAUUUGGAGGAACACCGAUGGCGUAGGCAGGUGACUGGCUCAUUUCUGACACUAAGGCACGAAAGCGUGGGUAGCAAACAGGAUUAGAUACCCUGU
rnacentral:rRNA from 1 species